UGGCCUGAAAGGUAGUACGCUGCUAGAAGGCCUCCAAUGAAGCGAAUAUUGACCUCAAAAACAGAUACUUCAGAGUUCACACUGAAAUCAAGAUUCUUGUCAAUCCACUCUUGUCCUUCUCGGAAUUCAUCACGAAGCCCCAUUAUAUAAAGAGUAUCCAGUGCAUCUACUAUGGUAGCACCCAUUUGUGAGUUUCCAAAUAUGUUGGUGGAAUGUCCUUUCCUGGCAAUUGGUUUGAGCUCAUUAUGUCCCCAUCCAUAUUGCCUAUAGUUGUCCCAGGCAUGCUUCAUCAUCUCUUUAAUUUUGUUCCUCUUCUCUCGAAUAUCCGGGUCUGCUGGUUCUCCACUGUUUAUUCCAACAAGAUUUGGUAAAGGAACAGGAGGCAGCGGCUUGCUGUCUUUCUUUUUCAAUUCUUGUACUACUUUGUUCUUUUCAGUCUGAAUCUCAGCUUGAAUCUCAUCACGCGAUUUCUUCAAUUUCUCCUUUGCCUCUUCCAGGGCCUUUUCAUGAUCAGCUCGGAUCUUAUUUCUCAGACGUUCCUCUUCUUCUCUGUGCCGGUGCUCGUCGUGCCCCUGCCCGUGGAUCAGGAAGCUUCCCAAGUGCUUGCCCCCCUUGCUGGUGUCCACGUGAGGGAUGAGCACGUCCUCCAGUCCCAGGUCAAAGCGUUUGUGCUUCGAGGAGUCGGGCAGGAAGAAGAACGCCCCGAAGCACAGCGUGAUGAAGGCACUCAAGAUAAGGAGCAAAAUGAAUUUCUCCGACAGUCUCAGGGUAGCCCUGUGGUGCGGGAAGGACGACGCGCCCAGGUUGAGGGCGGGCAGCCUGCGCCCGGCCAGCGGCAGCAGGGCGGGAGCGCUCAUCCUGCCGCUCACGGCCGCGCCGCGGGGCGCCGCGGCAGCCCCUCAGCCCCGGCGGGGGCCGGCCCGGGCCCGCCUCGGCUCCGCCGCCUCUCGGCCCGGCGCAGGGGCCGUCACCGGCCUCACCAUCCUCCCCGCGGGCGCCGGGCCGCGGCCCCCCUAGCACGACCAACCGCCGCGCGGGGAGCGAGGGCCUGGCUGCCCCGACGGCUCUCUCUCCGCCGCCGCCCGACAGGGCCCGAGCGGGAGGCUCCGCUCAGCGCCGCUCCUCGAGCUCCGCGGCGGCCCCGCUCCGGGCUGGCGGCAGCGAGCGGGCUGCGAGGGCCCCGGCGUGGCGUGCGGCGCCGCUCUGCCCGUGUCUCCUGAACGGGGCCGGGCGGAGGCUCAUCCCCGCCGCCCCGCUGAGAACGACGAGCGGCGCCGGUACGUCCGCCGCAAUUGCACUCCGGACCCGCUCCUCGCGCCUCCUGCGCUUGCGCGAAGGCGGCAGGGGACGCAAGCGCAAUGAGGAAAGCGAGGACUCCGGGAAGACGCUGCCAACGCCGC
rnacentral:lncRNA from 1 species